ACGCUGGCGGCAGGCCUAACACAUGCAAGUCGAGCGGUCGUAGCAAUACGGCAGCGGCAGACGGGAGAGUAACACGUGGGAACGCGCCCUUCGGUUCGGGAUAACCCAGGGAAACUUGGGCUAAUACCGGAUACGCCCUUACGGGGAAAGAUUUAUUGCCGAAGGAACGGCCCGCGUCCGAUUAGCUAGUUGGUGAGGUAACGGCUCACCAAGGCGACGAUCGGUAGCUGGUCUGAGAGGAUGACCAGCCUCACUGGGGCUGAGACACGGCCCAGACUCCUACGGGAGGCAGCAGUGGGGAAUAUUGGACAAUGGGCGCAAGCCUGAUCCAGCCAUGCCGCGUGGGUGAUGAAGGCCCUAGGGUUGUAAAGCCCUUUCAGCGGGGAAGAUAAUGACGGUACCCGCAGAAGAAGCCCCGGCUAACUUCGUGCCAGCAGCCGCGGUAAUACGAAGGGGGCUAGCGUUGCUCGGAAUUACUGGGCGUAAAGCGCACGUAGGCGGCUUUCUAAGUCGGGGGUGAAAUCCUGGAGCUCAACUCCAGAACUGCCUUCGAUACUGGAAAGCUCGAGUCCGGGAGAGGUGAGUGGAACUGCGAGUGUAGAGGUGAAAUUCGUAGAUAUUCGCAAGAAC
rnacentral:rRNA from 1 species